rnacentral:lncRNA from 1 species
GAAUUCACCAGGUCCUUUCGAGCCAAGAUUGCGACGAUCCCACAUUCAGACAGAUCACCAGGUCCUUCUGUCUGUUUCAAGUGGCUUAUCAAGAUCAACAGUUGAUUCGACUGGACACUGCUUGAAAUUACCUUUUUCAAGGUUGUUGACUAAAUUUGUUAAAUUCCCAGGCUGAAGCUCAGUACUGGCAAUAGUGGGCCUAGGUGUAUCAAUAUUGGAGUUAAGAUGGUGGACAUUGCAUAAGGACUGAUGAUUGUCGUGUUUCUUGAUACCAUUCUGCUCCACUGAUGAUGAUGCAGCCAUAGAUUGGAUAUCUGGGUCCACUUCUCUAAGCUGCAUGUAAAACAACAGGUUGGUAGUAUUUUGGGGAGACCUCCAAUUUUUCAUUUUAAAAAUACCUUUGCAACUUACAAAUUCCAAAGAAGACUCUGGUAGUGUAGGUUUCUUGAUACAAAUAAAGUUUUGAAUAUCUUGUCUAAAAGGCAUAAUUAUAUCCCGAAUUCCAGAGCUUCCAACCUGCAAAUUUUACACUCUAAGUAACAUAUACCUUGAAUCUGGAAACUGGGAAUGACUUAAUGACAACCAAAUUGCAAAAUGACGUAGUUUUGGAAGACAAUAAACAAAAUUAAAAAACGCUUGAAGAUUGUUUCACAAAUGAUAAGACAAGCUACACUUGAAUCACAAAGAAGCACCAAUAAGCAGUAGCCGGUAGCCACAUACAUGUAAAUCUCCACGGUAGGUAUACAUGACUUCUUAUGCGAUGAAUUACAAAUAAGAUGAUAUCAUUAUCUUUAGGCACUAAAUAGAGCACUUAAACAAUUUCCUGGUAAAGCAAUGCAGUAAUUCUUUUUAAAAUCGGAAUCAUAUAUUUUUUUUUCUCGAACUAUGCAUGAGUGCUGUGUCAUUUCAUUAAUUAAGAAGAAAAAGGUGAAUAAUACAAGGGAUAGAUGCAGAAUGCCUUCUCCCAAACCCAGCACAUGCAUGCCCAGCAGGGGAUUAGCUAAAGACGCGCCACCAAUCACUACAAACAACCACUAACAGCACCUCUGCUAUAUAGGACUAGACGACCAUGUCAUGGAGACAAAAUAAAAUGAAAGACCCGACUAAUACACGGCUGUCCAUAAGACCAGCCAACAACUCCGCUGAAUGAACUUACACGCUGUCAUCAGCUUUACAUCCAAAGAGCUGCAAGAUGGGCAUCGGCAAACUUUGAUGAAGUACACUCCACAAUUUUAGAUCGAACCCGCACUUUUGAUGAAGUACACUCCACAAUUUGAAUAUCAUAAUGACGAACAAAUCAAAAAAUGAUUACACAUCAUAUGAUCACUCUUGAAUCAUCAAUAAAAAUUACAUAUUCAGUUACUUGUUGAAGAUAAUCUUUGAAUCAGUUUAGAUGAAAAUGGAUAAUUUCAGUUUCUAUCAUGAAAUGAAAAUGCUACAGAUCUAUCACAAUUGUUUUUCUUUCAACCUAUUGUGACAGAUGACAUUGGUCAACAAGAAUAGCUUGUGAUCAGAUACACUGUCCAGAUUAUUAAGUUUUCAAAACAAAAAUGAUAUCUGUUUAUUCGUUUAUCCUCACUAAACACAGGCUUCACAGUUUUAGUGAAUUUCCCUGCCCUAGCACAAAGUUUCUACCAAUCACAAUUGACAACUAAACCAGGACAGUUUCAACUGAAACAGAAACCAAGUGGCUACAACAAAUAACUAUAUAGCUUCCUUCGAAUUGUUCCAAAAGUGACGGGUAAAAUAAUCAACAUUAACAGAAAUGCAAGCUCUUCACGUAAUAAAAUGGAUAGACAAAUCAGAAGUCAGAAACACCCACAUCGAAAAUGCACAUGGUUGCAUAGGCUCUAAAGGGAUCCCGGCUCUAAAUACCUGCUCGGUGAGCUCAACCAGCAAGUCCUUGCAAGAGCAGACGGCGUCAACCCUAAGAAUCUUCGACGGAGGUGGCGCCACUGCAGCAGCACCUUCGGCGGCGUCGGUGAAGGUUCCAUGCUUCUCGAGGCCCCGGAGCGCCACCCGCUCCCGCACGGAAUCUGGGGCGCCGAUGAGGUACUCAGGCGAGAGGUCCACCAGCGCUGGCGGAGCAUCAGGAACCCAAGGUGAGAGAACGAAGGAGUGAAGGAGAACCGAACGCGCGACACACGCGAUCAAGGCUUGUAGCUUACUCUUUAUUACGGAGAAAUCGAUGGCCUCAUCGGCAGCGAGGGCAUUAGCGACCGAGGGCAUCAGCGGGGGGCGCGGGGCGCGGUCACCGGCGUGCACGCAGCCAGCGGGCUCGCGGCGACACCGGCGCAGCCGCUCCGGCAGCGGGCUCGCGGCGGGGGGCGCGGCCACCGGCGUGCGCGCGGCCAGCGGGCUCGCGGCGGCUCGCGGCGGGGGGCGUUGCGGCGAGGGGCGUGCUCACGGCGGCUCGCGGUCGGGGGCGCGGCCACCGGCAUGCGCGCGGCCAGCGUGCUCGCGACGGGGGGCGUUGCGGCGAGGGGCGCGGCCACCGGCGUGCGCGUGGCCAACGGGCUAGCAGCGGCUCGCGGCGGGGGGCGCGGCCACCGGCGUGCGCAUGACCAGCGGGCUCGCGGCGGGGCUCGGCCACCGGAGAUCGAGAGGAGCAGAGGCAGCUGCGUGGCUUGGCCAUGGAGAUCGAGAUGCGGGGGGCGUGGGGCGCGGAUCGAGAGGAGGGAAACCAGGAAUGGCGAGAGAAGGGAAGGCGCUAACCGCAGCGACCGAGGGUGCGGGGGCGAUAACCGCGGGAGGGGGGUGGGGCGAUUAGAGCGAGGGCGGGGCGAUUAGGGUGGGGGCUGACGAUGACCUCCGGGUCUUUUUAGUUGUACAGAUAAUCUUCGUAGCAGCUUUGGCUUGAUAACUAAAACCGAAGAAAUCGGAUCCAGAUCUACGCUUGAGGUUAUAUAUAUGGGACGUCUGCACAUACUUUGUUUGUGGUUGUAUGUGGUUGCAUUCAGCUCGUUCCACUAUGCAUGAGGACGUUGUGGUGGUCAUUGUCAUCCACGAUCUUGCAGAUUCAGAAGGAAAUCAUGAGGAAAAAACAAGGUAUGAUACCCAAAGAUUGAUAUACAGAUUAUGCCUGUUUUAACGUACAGUAGUUCUUGCAGUAGGGUGUUCAAGGUGCUGUGACCAGGAAAAAGAAGAGAAGCGGUUCAGGUUGCCCAGAUGCGGCAGAAGAACCAAAUGGAUACAUGUCUGACAGGCAUCCAAGCUAUUGGCUUGAUUGGGAAAAAAAUGUUAAUUGUUAGCUGGUUCCUGAAACUUAGUUAUGUAUAGGUUAAUAUUCAGAAUGUGAACUGUCCCAUGUACUUGUUUUUUUUUAUCGUUUCAGUCUAUUGUAUCUAACCUUAAUGGAAGUGUCCUUUUGAUUCUCUAUAAUUUGGAAAAGUGGUAAUUUCAAAGUAUGAGGGCGUACAUGCUAGAGGGAAUACCCUUCACUACUGGAAUCGCACGCUUUGCCUAGUGUCCAGGACACUCGGCAAACGGCCAAAAACACUCGGCAAACCGUUUGCCGAGUGUCACACUCGGCAAAGCGGAGACGGCAAAAAGAGUAACGGCAAAGCAGACUUUGCCGAGUGUCCUUUUUCGGGCACUCGUGCCCGUUUGACACUCGGCAAACAAAAGUAGCCGUCACGGCCAACCUAACGGAAGAUCACGGUUUGACACUCGGCAAAGACAUUUUUUUAAAAAAAAAAAAUUUGGUUUGCCGAGUGUCUUUCUUAGGACACUAGGCAAACUACCAAGUUUGCCUGGUGCCUUGGACACGACACUCGGCAAAGCCAUCAGGUUUGCCUAGUGUCCUAGCCUAGACACUCGGCAAAACCAUCAGAUUUGCCUAGUGUCCUGGCAUGGACACUCGGCAAACCAUUUUUUCCAGGUGUCCAGUGCAGUCCUUUGCCGAGUGUUAUGGUCAAAACACUCGGCAAAGUGACCAGGAAUAUUUUUUUUAAUCAUUUUUAUCCAUUCCAUCCAGACAAACAAAAAAUAUGCAUAGCAGAGACAUCACUGACAUGAUAUAUAUAUCAUAGACAUCACAUACAUAUCACAAACAUGACAUAAGUCACAGUAUAUCGCAAUAAGUUCACAAGUAAUCCCAGUGCUCCAUCAUUCACCAUAAGAAGUGCAAAUAAAAAGUGCAAAUAAAAGUACCAUUAACAACUACAAGUAUCAUCACGGACAACGAGACUGAUUUGGUGAAGGAUUUGUAGCAUGAGACACUUCAUUCGAUGCCGCCGAUUGAUUCUACAGAAAGGAGAAGAGAUUACAUAUGUGAGACAAGAUAAAGCCCUGUUUGGAAAAAAGGAAUGCAAAACAAAGGAAUGAAAGAAAACACAGGAAUAUGAAAGGAAUAGAGGUGUAAAACAGAGGAUUGGAAACAUACAGAAAGUUUGUAGAAACGAGUGUUUAGAACACAGGAAUACUAAUAGCGUCAAAGACUAUUCGUUUGUGCUAAAUACAAUUGUUUAGAUUAAUUAUGAGCUAAUUACUUCUUUACAAAGCAACAUAUAGCAGUUUAAAAAAAAUUGAUAUGUCUUGGACGAGCCCAUAUGGUUGUGCAUGCAGGUAGGGAUCAGGAAGUAGCACAUGCUGUACAUGCAGGUAAGAAGGGAGUAUGCAGAUUAGUAGCUUGUGCAGUUGUGCUAGUUUGGAAACUUAAAACUUUUUUCAGUUUGUCUGUUAUUUAUACUCACAGGAGUAGUUGCACCGGGAGGUGGAGGUAGAGCGAAUAGCCCAGGUGGUGGAGGCAUUCCCUAGGCGGCGCCAAGACUUUGCAUGUACUGUAGAAUGUCUGCGAACCUCCGCUGCUCGGCCUCCCGCUCGGCUGCGAUCCUCGCCUCCAACUCCUCCCGCUCGGCUACGAUCCUCGUCUCCAACUCCUCCCGUCGCCUCUUCUCUUCUUCCAGCUGGACCUACAAUAUUUGAACCCAAUUUUUAUAAUAUUGCAGAGCUAAGGUAUCUAAAAAUCAAUGAAAAAUGAAUAAAACAGGAAUAACCUGGAGUGCCUCCAUCCGGUGUUGUGCAGUGUCCGGCCGAGGUCGUAUGGCGGGGCUUGAGCUCGUGCUUCUUGCCCGGAUCUGAGAGAGAGAGAGAGAGGGAGUAGUGGUUGUAUCGAUUAUGCCAUCGCCGAGCCAGUACCGCCCAUGCUUCUUUCCUCCUCCCACCCUCAUGACUACUUCUCCAUCAAAGUAGUAGAACCCCCUCCUGCUGCCCCCUCCUCCUCCUCCUCCUCGUCCUCGCGGCACUCCUCGUCCUCAUGCCGCUCCUCGUCCUCGUGCCGCUCCUCGUCCUCGUGCCGCUCCUCAUCCUCCUGCCGCUCCUCGUCCUCCUGCCGCUCCUCGUCCUCGUGCCGCUCCUCGUCCUCGGGCAUCACCUGCUCACACCCCGCACGUGCCAGGACAAGAGGCGACGGGUCCCUCCUGCGGCUGCUCCUCCUCCUCCUCCUCCUCCCCUGUGAUGGCUCCUCAUCUGCAGCAGGCGCUGCAGGGCGUGCUCUUUGGUAAAGAGAGUUCACCCUCCUCAUAUUACCGCCCACCACAUUUCUUCAAUCACCUGCAAUUAAAAGAUUAAACAAGAAUUAAUCAGCAAGAGGAGCAUAAUUACAAAAUAACAUAGUAUUACAAAAUAACAUAGUAUUUUUUCAGUCAUAAGGUGGCUGUUGAGCUACAGCAUAUAUAACUGCAGAAGGAAACAAAAAAAAGCACAAGUUAUGACGAGCCCAAAAUAAUUAUCAGUAGCUAAUCUAGAUCCAGCACAUCCCACAUCAGCUGUAAGAAGACUAUUAUUGAACUUCCUACUUUCCAGUAUGCGUAGCAUAAGACCUCUUAUAACAAAAGCAUGCAGUUCAUAUUGUGUGGCAAUAAUUAAGUGCAAAACCAGGCUACGAACAACAAUGAGUAAUCAGAACUAGGCAACUAGCCAAUAAGAACUAUUGAGGUGUUCAUCAGCCUAAAUAGUAAAUAGCAGACUUCUUUUCAGGGAAUGAAAUAGCAGGACAGACAAGAUUGUCCUUCCUGCUUACAGAGCAGGAGCCCAAUCAGGGGGAUCUUUAUAAUUUGACAGCACAUUGAAACCAGCUCUCCUUAGACAAACUCUUCUCUCCUGAUGGAGCGAUGGGGUAAAGAAUUUUCUAUAAUUUCAGAAGGAAAUCCAGAGCUCUAAUCUAAACAGUUUGGCAUGGGUUAAUUAGGGCCCACGCCCCAGCCAUGAACUUCACAGAUCCAGUUAUUCAGGAGAAGACUGAAUUAGUUAUAGUCUACAACAUGAGGUGAAAAAAGAAAAGGAAUCAGAUUGCGAAUUCCACAAAUAUUUGCAAUAGGAGGAAGUAUCCCACAAGGAAUAGCAUAGCAUAGCAUUGGCUCUCACAUCUCAACCUGCAUUGCUAUUACUUCAACUGAUCUUGCAUCUUCAGUAUGAUGCAAUCUAACCUCAUAGCAAAUCUAAUUCUACCACAAAAGCAAUUCAUGUAAUGGCCUAACAAUGUGACCCUUUUCUUUUUCAAUUUACUGGGACAUCAAAUUCAACACCUCAAGUUGCAGGCUGACUAAUUUAUAAAUGGAAAAAUUAGAAACACACAAAGUCCUUGCCCAUGUAACAUAACAAAUAUGAAAGCACACAUAACAGCAUUACAAUCCACGUUUCAGAGCAACAGCUGUACCUACUGGCUACUCCCACCAAUUUUAACACCAAAUCCAAGCAUACUACUCAGAAAAUAAGCUUGCAGAAUGGAAAUCAUCGUACCUUCACUACGAAGAGCACGAGGAACACGAGCACUGCAUGGAUCUUGUGCCUGAUGAAGAUGUACGGGCACCGGGGAUAGAGCUCGGAGUCGCAGCUCGGAGCCGCGCAACACCCCGCGAUGCCGUCACCGCCCGCUACGGAUGGGGCUCGGGGCCGUGCGGCGUGCGUCCCAUCGGGCGUGCCACGAGCGCCGAGCAGGGAUGCGCCGACGGGGAGGGUCGCGAGCGCCGAGCAGAGAUGCCGGCCCGCUAUGGAUGCGCCGCCGCACUGGUGUCUGAGGGCGUGCGACUGCGGCGGGAGAGGCGGUGGUGGGGGCUGGAGUGGGUGUCGAGGGCGGGCGCGGCUCCGGCGGUCGGGGGCGGGCGCAGAUCCAGGGAGCCGCCGGCAAGGGGCGGGCCAGGCGGCCUUACGAGCGGCGGCGGCCGGGAGCAGGCGACGGUGCGUGCUGAGGGCUAGCGUGCGGCCGGGAGCAAAAGUGCGUGGACUUGGAAGGCCAACCCGUGAUUUGUAAGGCUUUGCCGAGUGCGCCUGAUCUGGAACUCGGCAAAGGCGAUUUGUUAUUUUAUGUGUUUAUUCUCUUUGUUUGUUUUAAAAUUUAUGUUUAUCUAAUUUGUUGUGACUAAUUAACUUUUAAAAUAACUUGUUAAAUGUAUAUUCAAAGCUUAUACGAAUAUUUGGCCAUUAUUUCGUACGGUUACAUUUAGCUUUAAUUUUAUUUAUCGGAAUUAUAAAAUUCUAUAAUUACAGUUAACAAAUUAAAAUUAGCAAACGAAUCCAAAAAAAUACCAAAGUUUCACAAGAAAUAAUCUUUGUCGACUAUUCACUAUAUAAAAAAGUUUCGAAGUGAAACUCCAACUCGACAAUAAAAUUGACAUCCGAUCUUACUCGAUCCCACUCAACUAUAUGAAACUUCUAUGAAGAUGUACUGAUUUCUAAACAUCGUAUGUGACAACUUUCACGAAACAUUCUCAAACUUUUAUCACAGACUCCACAUAUGAUAUCAUGACAUUUUAACAAAUAUCAUGAUUUUCAGAUGUUGAUUGGGUUUUAUAUAAUUUAAAAUAAACUCGGCCACAAGUCCGUGCUCAUGCUUCAUAAGCAAGAUGUUUAAAAUUUGAUGUAACUUCCUAGAUUUUAACUUUAUUCGUUUUUAAAUAAUAUGAAAAUAAUUUUUCAUUCAUUUUUUUAAAAUUAUUCGAACCACUUGUAGUUCAUAUUUGAGUUAUCUCCAAAAAUUUAAUUAAAUGAGGUAAAUUAACUAAAUAUAGCAAAUAGAUUGAGAAAGGUACCAACAUUUCACAUGGAGUCAAGAUUACUGUAUAACAUUAGUAGAAAAAGUUUGGAGGCCAAAAGAAAAUAAAAAAUAAAAAGUUUGCCGAGUGUCGGCAUAAAACACUAGGCAAAUCUGUAACUUUGCCGAGUGUCACGAAGAAACACUAGGCAAAAUGGGAACUUUGCCUAGUGUCUGCGCACAACACUAGGCAAAAUGAUCGUUUUGCCGAGUGUGAGACGGAACACUCGGCAAAGCCUAACGGCACGUUAGCCACCGUUGUCUGACUAGUGCCUUUGCCGAGUGUAUGACUUUGCCUAGUGUCGGACACUAGGUAAAGGGCUGGUUUGCCGAGUGUCGGUGUUUGCCUAGUGUUUGGCACUAGGCAAACUAUCGAUUUACCGUGUGCUUCGGUUUGCCGAGGGCGACACUCGGCAAACUACUCCUUUGCCGAGUGCCCGAUAAAUAGCACUAGGCAAAGUGUGUGACACUAGGCAAAGAAUGAAUCUCCGGUAGUGCUUGUAGUUCCAUGUUUUUUUGAACAUGCAGUAUGUGCCCAUACUCUGUCAGUAGAAUGUAGUAUAGUAUAUUUUUUUUUAGAAUUGAAGUUCGUAUGGAUACAUGUCUGACAUGGCGUAUGUGUCCAUACUAUGUAUAUUGAGAAUGUAGUAUAGUUAUAUAUAUUUUUGGGAAUCAGAGUACGUAUGGAUACAUGUCUGACAUGGUGUAUGUGCCCAUACGCUCCCUCAGUUUGUUUAUUCCAUGGUUUAGCUCACCACCAAAGCUUGCCUAUAUCCACGUUGUUGAGGAAGCCACACAAGCUUUUCGGGUCUCUUUCAACCCUAUCCUCGUUUUCAAGUCAAGAGAGCAAUCUCUUGAGAUUAGAGGUGAUUUCACUAGAUGAUUAGAGUGAUUACAAACCUCUGGAGGCUGCCAGACAAGUUGGAAGCAGCUCAACGGGCAAUGCCUAGCUAGCUAGAGGCAAAGCCACAAGAGUAAUGAACGCAAAUUCAACUGGCCUCACGAAGAAAUGAGUGCUCAAGCUUGCUUUGAUGUUUCUCUCACCAAGAUUUGAAGCUAGGAGCAGAGGGGAUAGAAGAGAGGAGCUUCUGGGAGCUAGAGAGGUGCCUUGGCUGAAGGUUUGGUCGAGUGAAUGAGUUCCCCAAUGGUUAGAAGUAAGGGAAGAGCUAUUUAUAUGUACUCGUAGAAGAGCUACCGAUACUACCGAUGGUUAACAUUGGUACUGCCGGUCCCUAGGUUUGCCGGUCCCUAGGUUUCCGACCGUUGGAUGCAACUUACAGUCAUGCAGGAUUUUUGUGGAAAAUAAGCCUACCGGUACUACCGGUGUUACACCGGUACCUCCGGUGCUCACCGGUACCACCGAUCAGAGACUAGUACUUCCAGUAGUUCAAUUUUGUACCAAACUCGGCUUGGCUACUAUGCUGAUUCUAUGCCUACUGGUACCACCGGUACUACCAGUGCACCUAGGCAAGAAAAGACUUUGCCUACCGAUACCACCGGUACUACCGGUGCACCCACGCAAGAAAAGACUUUUCUAAGUGUCCAUGAAGUGCUAGAGUGUCUCUCUUAUGAUUUAGUUGUUAUGCUUGAGCACUCUAUCUUCCUCAGACCAACCAAAUUUGCAUCCCUCUUUAUAGUGCGGCAUAUCCUAAACUCAAGGUCAAAAGAAUAAAACCAUUUUAACCAUUCGAGCCUUUAGUGUUUUUUAAUACCACUUCUCAAUAUCACUUCAUAAGGGAUGCAAUUAACUUUAUCUCCUCUCUUUGAGCACAUAUAGCUUGAGCAUGUGACUUGAAUCAUUUCUACACAUGUGAGUUCAACCCAUGAAUUCAAGUCACUUCCACUAAUGAUUUGAUCCUCAACAUAAUAUGACGCCUCAUAGCUCAAUUAGUACCAUGACUCAAUGCAAGUACUCUCUUCUUCACCUUAGCCAUGGUACCUUGGUCUAUAAGCCAUUGCUUGCCCUUCACCUUGGCUUAGUCCCUCAAAGCCCUUUUACUUGCUAUCUUCAUCCUAUCGAGCCAUACUCAAGUCACAUCAUAUUAAGCAUCAAUUGAAUAACCAUUUCUUCAAUAUUGGGAUCUUGCUUGAAUAUCUUCUAAAUAUGAGUGUUGAUAUCAAUCAAGCUUCAAUUUAUAACAAUACACAACUUUGGCCUUUAUUUGAAUAUUAUGUGAAAUACCAUAAGUUUGCUUUCUUGUUGAACCUUUGAUACACUUAGAAAACUUGUUAGACCUUUAGUUGUGUUGUCAUUCAAUUCACCAAAACCCACUAAAGGGCUAGAUACACUUACACAAUGUGUUAAAUUAAAAUUAUGAGCGGCUCGCAAACUAGAGAGGUAUGAAAAGGGAGACGCACGUGGCGACCCAACUGACAAGCAUGACACAAUUAUUUGGACUCAGUUUUAUUACAUGUAAUGGUAGAAGAUGACACUAAAUAGGAGAGGGUGUCGGAGCCAAGAUGACCAAGACACAGAUGCCAAAGAGUGGAGUUGGUGCUGGCUGUGAGGGUAAGGAGCCCUAAAAUUGAUGACAAGAGCGGGUAGAGCGGCCCAAAACUAUUGCACCUAGUGAUCAUGCUCCGGGUUGUGACGUCCUUCAUAGAGAAACCAUGUGAGUCAAAUAUAAAAGCGUAAUUAUUUUCAGUGGUGAAUUGACGAAUGGGAAUGAGAUUUUUAAUUAGUUGGGGAGAAACUAAAACAUUAUUUAAACAAAGGAAGAGCAGUAGGAAAAUUAACAAAGCCAGUGCAAGUGAUGGGUAGGAGGGAGCCAUCACCAACUAUGAUAUUAGAUAGAGUGGAAAAUGAAGAAGGUUGAGAAACACAAAGAUUACCACAUAUUGAUGCCAUGUGAGCCUUAGCACUAGUAUGCUACCAUUCAGUCAACAGUGGUGGCUGAAGUGUCAUCAUGAUGCUAGGACAUUUGGAUCCCAUACAAAGCUGGCCAGGUGGCCAGGGGGUGCAGAUAGGCCAGCAAAGCAUGGCAACAACAACUAGUGAUGCAGCAACCCUAACAUGGAUGCAAGUGGAGGCGAUGGCCCUAGCAGUGGAGCGAGUGGAGGAGGCCCAGGUGGCAGGGAAGGCUAGCCCAUGUAGAACACCAGAGACGCCUCGCUCGGGUUGUGUGGAGGGGCGCCUGGUGGCCUGGCCUAGUAGGCCUGAAAGGUGCCAUAGACAGGCUGCUAGCCAGGUGGAGGUGGAGUGGGCCACUAUGCCUAGGCAGCCACGGAGCACCUGGGAUGGCUGCACCAGCACCAGCAACUCUAGACUUCUUGCCGCCACCACUAUUGCGAUGUGUUGGCUUCUUGCUGGUGUUGCUGCUGGCGAUGGGGUUGUAGAAUGUUGGUGCUGGGAGACAAGGAGUGAAGGCAGCCAGGGCCUACAUCGGAGAGACUUGCUUGGCCUUCAUGGUGAUCUUGGUGAGGUGGAAGUCAAAGCGCACCUCUAUGAAUGUUGAGAACGGUUGUUGGCGCUCGAUCAAGGCUGCCAAGUAAGCGAAGCAGUCAUUGAAGCUGCGAAGGACAUUAAGGACGAGGGUGCGGUCCUAAAUUGGCUCGCCAAAUCGACAAAUUAGUUGGUCAUUGCCUUGAGUUGAUGGUAGUAGUCAUCAUGGAGAGAUCACCUUGGAUGAAGGUAUGAAACUUGGCAUUGAGGAGGAGCACACGAGUCUCAUUGUUGCUGAUAAAUUGUUGCUCUAGCACUAGCAAGAGGAGGAGCGCACGAGUCUCAUUGUUGCUGAUAAAUUGUUGCUCUAGCACUAGCAAGACGAUGCGAGCCACUGGCAUCCUGUCCUCGCGGUUCAUCACCACCUCGGGAAGUAAUGAGGACAUCCCAGCUCCUCAUGUGUUCGAACUUGAAGAGCAUUCACCGCCUAACACAAAUAAACAUAAUCAUGGUCUACUUACACGGAGCCACGCCAAGAAAGUACAAGAAUAGGUGAAUCUAUUCCAAACCUAUUAUGAUUUACCAUAUCUAAGGAUGUUAUACUAUCUAAAAUGCUCUACACAUAUUUUACUGAAGUUCCCACAAGAAGGAGCUACUACUAGACUAAAGGAGAGAAGAUGGUGUACAAGGAAGCUGAACCGACACCCCAUCUGGCUGAUAGCACGAAUCAACAGAAAAGAAACAGUUACACACAAUGAUCAUCAAUGCCAUCUUUAUUUUGUUGCAAAUGGUCAGUGUUAUUGCCCUUGCCUUACAUUACCAUUAAUGGAAGUUGGAAUUUAACGUUAAAAAUUGUGAAUUAGUUAUGCUAUUUGUUUGAACAUUAUAUAGGUCACUAUAAUCAUGAUGAAGUUGUACACCCUCCAUUCUUUUGCUCUAGUUUCGCCACUCUUGAAGACCUUGACAUCCCUAUUGAAGACCUUGACGUCUCUCCACCGCGACUCCAUGAGGUACGACAUGCCGUUAUUGCGCUGCCCGUACACGCCGAACUUGAAGUAGUGCGAGUCCCCGCCGCGGCCGGGCACCGUCAGCCGGUGCUGGCCGUCCACGAACACGGUCACGUUGGACGCCGCGACGUCGUGGAUCACGUUGAGCUUGAACCACCUGUCGUAGAUGCUGGCGUCGACGACCCUCGAAUCGUCGUGGUAGUAGGUGAGCCGGCCGUCGUAGACGUGCAGCAUCAGCGUCGUCGCGUGCUCCGCCGCGCCGAAGAUCUGCAUCACCGACGCGCCCGUCGUGCCGCGCGGGAUGUACCCGUAGCCCUCGAACUGCCACACCCCGGAGCUGUAGAUCAGCUGCGCGCCACCGACGGCGAUGGCCGUGAUCGGAGAAGAACCGAGAAGGAAACUGUUAUUAGUACUGCGUAUAUAUGAUGUCACAUUCAGAUCUUGGUCUAGCGUUACUGUUACUGUUACCUGGAUCUUGGUCUCUGUGCGGGGGCCGCCGGGGUGGGCGGUGGUGAUGGGCAUGUCGGUGGCGUAUACCCACAUCCGCCGCACGCCGUCGACGAACUCGUAGCGGUCGGGCAGCGGCACGUCGUAGGGCUUCUAUCUGCACCUUGAACAGCACCUCGGGCAGGUCCACGGCGGUGAAGCCGUUGGUCAGCAGGUCCUCGCCGCAACCGCAAGCCGAGCACAACGACAGGGCGCACGACGUGGACACCAGCAGCAGCAGCUGCAACACGAGCAAUGGCGGCGGCGAGGCCGGGAGCAGGAACGACGGAGCCCCCACGCCACGAGCCAUGAAAACUGCUGCACUGAACCUAGUGAACCUUAUAUUAGCUUCUCUCUCACGCACGCACACAAACACACCUCUCACUGGCUAGCUCUAUCGCUCAUCUGGCUAUAUAUCUGCUGUAGUAAUUGCGUAUAUGUAUAUAUAGAUCACGAGAUGUCCAUAUCUCUCCUGUCCUGUCGACACGCUACGUCUUUUUUCGACUGCAGCUCUGUAAGGGUUGCAAUCGACAAAGUUGCCGGCCGGCCGGGCGCGCUGUUGUUAAACCGGAGGUUCCGAGCGCCGGCCGUCAGAGUUGUCACUUCGUGCGUUACUGCCGUUCCUGAAGUUAGGAGUUGUUGUCACGGCACGGCUCAUUUAGCCAUGGGCACUGUUUGCCACCGGUCGUGUAGCGAGCCCUCCAAGGGUUUAUUUUCAACCUGAGGCCUAGGGACGACUCAGGCACGGAACAGCUCAUUUAGGCAUGGGCUCUGUUGGCAUGGGUGGUGUAGCGAGUCCUCCAAGGGUUUACUUUCAACCUGAGACCUAGGGACGACACUAGAUGAGGUUGGCCAUGAUGUGCUGGCUGCUGCCCUAGGCUUGAUGGGCCAUGAUGCCAGCCAAGCGAGACCUUUUCUGUAAAAAACUAAAAAGAAUUGAUAAAAAUCACGAAGUUAUAGACCAUUUACAUGUUUGCACAUCCAUCCCAACCAAUGUUUUAAAUAGCGGGCUAAGCCUCUUAGCGGCGGCCUCUCUAAAAGGCUAAAAAAAUCUAUAGCGUGCUAAUAGCGAGCUAAGCCAUUUAGCGGCUGAGCAAAAAAUUUGUCAAACAUUAUGUAAUUUUACACAUAAUAAAGAUGAAAACAUUAUGAAUACCAAUAGGGAUAGAUAUUUCAAAGUCUUACUAACAUAUUACAUCAAAGUUCAUAGUUCAUAUAUGAUACAUCAAUAAUAACAUACAUCACAUGGUGACAUAUCCCUGCUAUUUGGGCCUCCAAAUUAUUUGGGCCGAUGGAAAUGAAGCCCAAGGCCAAAUAGCGGCGCUAAACUAACCUAAUUUAGCGAAAUUAGCACGCUAUUAGCUGCUAAUAGCGGGAACAAUCAUUUAGCGCUAAAAUCUUCAUAGCUUAGCAGUUCUCUUCCAGAAACGCUAAAUAGCGCUAUAGCGUCCGCUAUAGCGCGCUAUUUAGAACAGGGAUCACAACUCACAAAGCUACACAUUGGAAUCAUCAGUAUUCAGUAAAGAAGACAUGUCAUGAAUCUUGCCCGUUGGUGGGUGUUGGUCGCCGACCCAUGUCACCUGGCACGAUGGUUGAGCUCAACCAAAACUUUAGGUGAGGGAGAAAUGCCGACACAUGCUGAUACGAGACAGCUAAACCUUUUAUACUAAAAUAUACAAAUAGCAUGAUAAGAUAAUAAUACUAUAAAUUCAAAUACAAUGUUAAAAGUAAUAUUAAAUCCAAAAGGCAAAGUUCAUGAACGGUCAUGGAGAGCACGGCAUCGUAGGCUCACAAACUCUACUUUAUAGACUAUUCUAUGAUGCGGCUAAGAUAGUGUUUUAUAUCGGCACAAAGAAAUAUCCAAUAUGCAUUUCUUCCAUACGCCAUUAAAUUCACAAAUAAGUUCAACUGUAUCUACAUAUCAUCUUGUAUAUGUAAAUAUUAGUAUCUGUCACAUAGGUAAUAUUGCGCCUCUUGAAAAAAUCUAGCACAAAACAUUAAAACAAAGUAUGUUAUACUCAAUGUAUAAAUAUAUUUGACUUUAGGAAUAUUCCAUGGAGACAUAUACUAUUGAAUAAGGUAUCCACUUGAGUGUCUAUGGCAAGAUUCACUCACUACUGGAGACUGGGCCUUUGCCUAGUGCCCCAGGCACUCUGCACAGGCCUAAUUGCACUCAGCAAAUGCCACUCGGCAAAAAAAAUGUCGGCGAAGACCUCUUUGCCGAGUGCCGCCGCGGCACUCGACGAAGAAAAGGCAGCGUCACGGCGGUUCCGCCGUUAACAGUGGCUUUGCCGAGUGCCUAGCAGCGACGGUGACUGUAUUAUUAUUGCAGCGACUAUUAAAACUAUGUACAAAUAGUUAAAUCGUUGGUAUUAUUAUUGCAAGCGACGGUGACUCUAAGCUAGUUAUCUAUCUAUAUCAUCUACAUGUUUUCUCAUGCAUGAAUUUCUAUUUGAAGAUAUCCUCGUUCCAUCCAUGACUAUGUACAUUCACUAUGGCCAUGUACUGCAUACAAGUUAAAUCCAAGAGUUUGCUUGGCAUAUAUCAGCAUUGGUAUAUCUUUACACCACAUUUCAAUAGAUCUAAAAUCAAUCAUGAUAAUCUUCUUUUGCUGGUCAAUAUGUGGGAAUAGGCACAAUAUGCAAUUCACAGAACACAAAGAAUCUUCUUUUAACAAAUAGAGAGAUACAAGAAGUGAGCAAAUUGAUAAUCACAAGGGAUAAAAAUAGGAAAGAUGUUGUGGCUUGUCAUUUGGUUAAUUUCAGUUUAUCACCAAACUGAAAUGUGUAGUUCACUACCAGAAACUUGAAUUCUUCUGUGUGUGCAAACACACACACACACACACACACACACAAAUCCCAUCAGAAAAUUCUCUGAUAGUGUAUCGCGAGAAAAAUACACAUAGAAAUAUAAUGACAGAAAAAAGUUUUCUAUGUGUUCACCGUUAGAAACAAUUUUUCUGUGAGUCGCACAAACACACAGAAAAAUUAGUUUCGCCCAGAUUAAAAAUCAAUUUUCUGCAGAUAUCCGCACACAAAUAAUGAAAUAAACGCACAAAAAAUACAUGUUUUUUCUGCUGGUCUAGGUGAACUAACAGAAAAAAUUAUUUCACCCAGAUUAAAAAUAAUAUUUCUAUGUAGCCAUCCUCACAGAAAAAAGAGUUAAAUGCACAAAAAAUAUUUUUUUAGCAACAACAUUAAAAUAUAUUUUUGCAUGCCACAUUACAACAAAAUAAAUAGCAUAUAUAUAAAGAUGGUGUCCAAACAUUCAACACAUUCAUAGGAUACAUAGAUGAUGUCCAAAUAUUCCAACAUGAAUACAUUAUAUUAUAGCAAAGAACAGAGGUUAACUCUUAAGUCACAGGCCAAUUUCAUUUAUACUGAAGGCCAUCAUCUACUAGGAAAUAGCAAGGAUCAUCAGCUGAUCAAUGAUGUCACCAUUUCCUAAGUUACACAGAAUAGAACUGCUGAAAACCUGCAGCACCCAACCAAAGAUCCCAAAGCACUAAGUAUUUGUGAGGAGCCGAGAUGCAAGUUGUGACUACCGAUUGGAGCAGCAGGGCCGCGAAAACAGCAAAAGUGAGGAGGUGGGCCUCUUGGCAACUUCGGUGGGCCUUAGAUGAAAGCCACGUGUCCUAAAAAGUUCAUCAUAUGGUUAGGAUAAACUUCGGUGAGCCUCUUGGCAACUGAAAACUCUACCACCCCUGGUCGUGUGACAGGUCUUUUGGGACACGUGGCUUCCAUCUAAGGUGGGUCUACACGGAGGCACGGUGCAGGGAUUUGCACUCUGCACCCAAAUUUUUUUCGGCCAACGAUGUAAAUUUUUUGCCGCACGAAGAGGUUGUCCACCUUUUACUCUUUUUAGUUGUGAGAGAUAAAAAAGAGAUUGCAUACGCACAUCAUAGAUAUAGAGUAAAUUUGAAGAUUGAUUUAGCGGUCAAUAACACUUUACCACAAUUCAUUACUUCAGCCUACAGCAACUGAAGAAGAAUCUAAAAAAACAUCUAUAAAUUUAAAGAAGAAACCAGAUAAUGUUUAAUAUAUGAUUAUAUGUGAUAAUACAUAAAAAACAAUGCACAACUAUGAUAGGACAUAACGAUUCCCUUAGCCUCAGCCUCCCUGAGAGCACCAGCGUUGCUAACAUGCUCGCCACCACCUCCUCCUCCUCCACAACCGAGGAUAGUGGGAACUGGACAGUCGUACAGUGUCACCACGAGUCUACGACAUCAUCCCACCUGCACAACAGGUAGCUAGGAUGGCGAGAAGGCAAGGUGUGGCGAGCUGCAGCUACAACAUGACGGUUGUGAGUUGCAGCUACACCCUAGAAGAGGAGGCAUGGCGAACCCACACCAUCUAGACACUAAACAAGAGAGGAGAGGAGAGAGCCAAAGAUAGAGUCAUGAUCAUGGAGAUGCUAGGACUGGCCAGGUGUGGAGCCAAUUUUUUUUGGUUUCACCAAGCUUCAUCGGCUGUGUGAAGAAGAGAGGAGAGGGAGAGAGAGAGAAAAAAGGUCAUGUAAACAGUGUAUAAACAGUGCAUAUGUCAGAGAAGCUUAAGCCGGUAGGAGCUUAACCAGAUGGACCCUUAGCCUGGAUUGGGGUCUAUUUCACACGAAGUGCAAGAUAAUGCUAACAAUGACAGGCAGUGGGCACUGGGCACACACAAUGUGGAUGAUUCAGUUGGUUACUUUGGUUGCUCUGAAGUUGAGUCACCAGUGAUAGGUGACAAGUCCUCCUUCCACUUCUUAAUCAAAUAAAGACCUCUGGACAAAACCAUGAUGAUAUCCUUUCAAAUAAGAUGUUUAGACAAGUAGUUUAUACGUGAAAUUUAGAAAAUGGUAGAGUGUCAAAUCCAGGCUUCACGAAGCCAGUUUUGGUCUAUUUGUUUGUCUAGUUGGGCUCUUUAGCGUGGCACGUUGAGGCCACAUACUACCAGUUAGCUAGGCUUGCUAGAAACUAAGGGGGUGGGCAAUUCCAUGUAGCCUGGCUCGAGCCAACGCUCGCCUCACCUCCGGUCACUCCUCACCCCCUCCACGCUCGUAAGCAGUGCUCCUCCACCUCGUCCACACUCGUCCACUGGCACUCCACCUCCUCCACGCUCUCCUCUCCCCUUAGACCUCCAUUCACCGAUUGUGAGCCGUCCUGGCCGAUGGCAGGCUCGAGACAUCGGUAGCCAUGAGCGGCAAAGGGUGAGGAGCAUGCAACAACGAGGUGGCGGUGGUCCUACUUGGCUCGGGCGCGUGGAGCCAGUCCGUGGCAUCGCUCAGGUGACCCAUGAUGUUGGCAUGGAGCACCUCGAUGCCACCAUCAUACGGCUUGUUGUCCCUGGCGAUGGGAUGUCGACGACCAGUGGCGGCCACUGAACCACAUACACCCCCGCCCAUGGCAGCGGCUUGUGAAGCCCGGUGCGCCCACAACUCAUUGAGGUAGCGUGGCACCGCACCGGAUGCCCUUGGAUUUGCCAUGGCCACCAGAACCGUCAACCCAUGAGUUGUCAUCUCCCUCUCUGAACUCUAGCCUCAGCAUCAUGGUCCGUUCCUACGCGUCUGAGCUGCUACGCAAGCCAGCACGUUGACCUGCCAUCUUAGCCAACCUCAUUGCUAUCGGCGAGGAGUGGGAGGACGAUGAAGGUACUCUCUACAUCCAGACAACAUGGAUGCCCGUGACAUGUUCGACAAAAUGUCUCAAUGAGGUAACCUUAGGUAAAUGGGGAUGAGGUGACUAUGUCGAGCUAACCUGACAACCAAACAUUAUUUGGCUGAACCAGGCUUAGCUAAGACAUGUAAAGCAAACAACAUUCCUUUGCAUUGGGAGAUCCAGGCUUGUGUUACCCUAGCUUAGUUGGUUAGCCACACUAUGUCUAAAACGCAAAUAAAAAACAGCCUAAGUAGAUUCCAAAUCCCCAAAAAUAAAAGGAUCCAAGCGGCCCUUAUGGAAAUUGACCCUCAUGUCUGAGAUUUAUCCAAACCAAAGCAGAAUCUAGAGAUUAUUCAACAAUUCACUGUCAGACAUCCUCCGUUAUCAUCGUAGUUCACAUGUUGGAUUCAGGUUUCCAUCGAUCGUGUGUCACCGUCAAGCACACGACCAGAUCAAAGAACGAGACGACGACAUCUAAUGUGUUCAGGGCUUGGUGUAGAUGGCGACGUUCCUCCAGCGCGACUCCAUGCGGUGCGAAGGGUUGUGGUGUGACUGCUUGUACACGCCGAACUUGAAGUAGUGUUCCUUCCCGCCUUGGCCGGGGGCACUCAGCCUCCUCUCGCCGUCGACAAAAACGGUGACGUUCCCGGCGGCGACGUCGUGGAUGACGUUGAGACGGAUCCACCGGUCGUAGACGCGGUCCGCAACCACCUUGGUUAGCUCAUGGUAGUAAGUGAGCUGGCCGUCGUAGACGUGCAGCAUCAGCGUCGUGGCGUGCGUCGCCGCGCCGAAGAUCUGCAUCACCGACGCGCCGGACGUGCCCGACGGCACGUACAUGUCGCCCUCGAACUGCCACACGCCGGAGCUGUAGAUCUUCUGCAGAAUUCAUGCAGAGUUAGUAUAUAGGAAGAACAACAGGAAUGGCCGAGAAGAGGUCUUGCCGUACGUCGACUUUGAUCUCGGUGCGCGCGCCGCCGGGGUGGGUGGCGCUGCCGGGCUUGUCGGUGGCGAAGACCCACAUGCGGCGGACGCCGCCGGACUCCUCGUACCGCUCCUUUAGGGGCACGUCGUAGGGCUUCUGUACCACGAACUGCGACUCGCUCAGCUCGACACGGCUGAAACCGGCGGUCAGGUGAUCAGACGAGCCGGCGUUGGCGGCCAACGACAGCGCCGCCGCCAUCACCGGCAGCAGCAACAUCAGUGAGCACGAGCUAGAAGAAGAAGAACCUGCCAUGUCUCUGAGUACUAGCUAGCCAACAGUGAGGAGGGCGUACGCAUAACUCAUCUCGUCUGUCUAUUUAUUAACCGCUCGGCUGCCUGCUGGUCGAUCAGUGUCAGUGAACAAUGGCGAUGAUUACCACGAGGCGGAGCGCGUGUCGUGUGCACAGCGCGACGGAGACGGUGGCCGGCGCGGCGGGCGGGCGGCGGCGCCACGCGCGCCAUGACGACUAGCGACGACAUCAAGCGCUUAGAACUCCAUGUUGGACGAAGGAGAUCUCAAGAAUGUUCGUAGCCGGCCUGAUGACGGCGAUGGGUUGAUGGCCGUGACCCAUGACGACGGUGACGUGAUCUGUGCGUCGCCGUGAAUCUUCGUGUUCGACCGUUCGGCGCCCUGCUGCCGACCCGUUCCCAGGUGUUGAUUUUAGCCAGAUGGGUUUUCUUCAAUGGGGCCUUCUUUGUUCUUUCAGCUAGCAAACUGUUUGUUUUUCCUAAAUUUGUUUUUUUAGGCUGCUGUAGGACUUGAGAAAUAAUUAAGAUAAUAGAAGGGAAAGUACAGACCCCAUUUUCAAAAAAGAAAGGGGUACAGACUACAGAGACCCUCCAGCCCUUGUGCUUAGGGUGCGUCAGUGUCCAAGAAUGUUUUCUUUUUUUCGUUUUUCCUUUCUUUCUUGUUCUUUUUUCUGUAGAUUUUUUGUUUUCAUUUAUUUUACCUUUUUCUUUGUUUUUAUAUUUUACUCUAUUAUUGGUAUUUCUCUGUAGAUGACAGUCUUUGGUGUCCAGCCUCCAUCUACCACAGAACCUCCUCAAGUCCUGCACCAGUACCCAUCCCAUCUCCCUCACCCUCUCCAUGCUUCUCUCACCUGCCCCUCUCCCUAUCAUACCUCGCUACUACAGAACACAAAAUCUAUGCCGGUCAAUCACCCCCAUGGCUCCAACUGGCACGCAGCAGCAUAACGCCAUUACUGUGGUCUGUGAGGUUGUGGAUUGAUGCUACAGCGUUAGUGACUAUUGGAUCCGUGUAACCAUCUAUUAUACAGUCGAAUCCAGCUACUAUAGCAUUGCUUCUGGAUAUAAAUCAAACGUCCACACACAACAGAUGGCCCCACAUGGACAAUUAAGGUCCCCUACCAGUAGUUCCACAUAAGUUCAAUAACACUAAUUAAUCAUCGCUUCACCAUUUGUAGUGUCUCAAUAUGUGCUCUACGUGAGAUAAACUAUAUCAUAGGAUUUACCAUCCCACAAGUAGAUCAGUGUUUUGUCUAUAGAGAAUCAGAGGGGUAGCACAUGAGGCACUAAUCUAUACCAUUUCUAGUGAUGGGGUACCCUAUCUAGUGGAGAAUACUUGUCAUAUAACAUAUACUCGGGCUUAUAGGGGUGCUCAUGAUUUUUCCUAGAGCUCAUAGCGGUGAUUUUCAAAUUCAUCACCGGAUCGCCCCUACCUCCCCUUAUAUAGCCCAAGGUAGGGUUACAAGCAAAAUGCCAAAUGACCUAAAUCUAUGAUUUUCUAGUUUGUUACAAGGUAAUCUUAUCAGAUUCGAGUAGAUCAACAUGAUCGAAUUGACUCCUACAGUGAUCUAAUUGAUAUCUUGUCCCCACAUAUAGUCGAUGCACCCUGUCUGGUUUGCGACCUACCCCUACCCUAGGGGACCUACACCCAAUAUACCGACAUAGUAGCUCCCAAAGGUAUUUAUGAUGAGUCAAUCAUCCGCUCAACAUGUCGGUUGAUCCAUUGAGGAGACUAUCGUCAAGCUCCUAGAUAUUGCUUGUCAUGAACAUGUGUUAUUGAUAAGAAUUGAACGAGGAGACAGGAAAUCCGAGUUGCAUUGUCUUCUCCGCCUUUUUCGUUCCACCCAUGACACUAGAAUAAGGGGAUCACCAGUCAUCGGAUCACUUACCACUUCCGACAGAGGCCUACAAAUUAAAAAGGCACCUCCUAUGAACUCCCAUGGACCAAGCUAUGCUGGAGGUUCCUAGUCCGUUCUCAAGAGAGGGGAACGAGUUUAUUAGGAACUCAUCAUGUCUCCCUCCUCGGGAGCUCGUAGUCGUUGUCGUUGAUUUUGGGAGAAGGCUCUUGAUGGUUUGCUCUUGAAGGUGCGUCACCAUCGAAGUCUCCCAAGGUUUCCCAUUGCUACUGCACGCAAGAAUGGCGUUUUGGCUUUGUCCGCUAACACUUUGGAAGACCAUCGUCUUCCUUCCCUAGAGCAAAGCAAAGGACGUACAUGGGUACUCUUAGUGGUGGCGAAGCUAAAGCAAAUUAGAAGGGGAUGUAUUCAGCUUGUGGGUACACAUAGAUAUCUUUCAUGAGAAUGUUUAUAUGGUGAAAUUUUGGCCCUACUGUUUUUAUACUUUUUGGGGGUGCAUUUGGACCUCCUGAUCGGCUUCACCACUAGGUACUCUAGUAGAUAUCUGAAGAAGACUCCAAACGAGCCCCUGCACUGCGUUCUAGAUUCAGGCACCAAUGAUAUGACAUACAUCAGGGAAGGCUCCACGUGUAUAUAGAAAUUCUCCUAUAGGAGCUUGAGGUUCCUUCGGCAUUGAGUCUACGUAAUUUUUAGUUUUGCCAAGCUUUCAGGUAGUCCUUUCCUCAGAGCAAGUAUAAUAGCAAACUGUAAGCAGGUUAAAUGCUGAGGUGGAAAAGAGAAUAGAACAAAAAGCAAAAGUGGACUGUGAGCUUGCAAUUUUGACUAAGAGCUCGCUCAGUUUUCCAAGCGCAUAGGCAUCACGGUAGUUUGUAGUUAUACUCAGUUAAAAUUUAGUGUAGUUUAUAGUUAUUUACUCCCUCUGUAUAGGAUUUUGAAGUCAUUUUGGACAAGAUUUAUAUCAAACAUUGAGAAUAUAAAUCAACAACAACCUUUAAACUAUUGAGUUUGCAAAUGUGAAAAUUAUAUGAAUAGAUUUAUCUUGAAAAAUACUUUUAUAAAAAUAUACAUAUAUUAUUUUUUUCUAAAAAUUUUUAUAAAAAUAAGAGGUCAAAGUUGUGUUUUAGAGACUAUAUCUGUCCUAAACGAUUUCUAAAUCCUAUACAAAGAGAGUAUUACUUAACAUAUUUAAAAAAAACUGUUAUAUUAUCUCGAAAACAGAACUAAGAAACACACUUACAACACAAGUUACUAGCAGCUUAUUCUCCAGCCAGAGACACAUUAAUUUGAGACGUCCUCCAUCAUCACUGUUCACAUAUCGGAUCCAUGCAUGUCUCCAUCGAUCGUCUGUCACCGUCACGACCAGAUCGAUCAAGAGCGAGACGACGACAUCUAAUUUAACGUGUUCACGGCUUGGUAUAGAUGGCGACGUUCUUCCAGUGCGCCUCCAUGCGGUGCGAAUGGUUAUGGAGCCCCUGCGUGUACACGCCGAACUUGAAGUAGUGCUCCUUCCCGCCGUGGCCUCGGACAUCCAGCCGCCUCUCGCCGUCGACGAACACGGCGACGUUCCCGGCCGCGACGUCGUGCACCACGUUGAGACGCAUCCACCGGUCGUACACGCGGUCCGCCAACACCUUGGUCACGUUGUGGUAGUAGGUGAGCUUGCCGUCGUAGACCGGCAGCAUCACCGUCGACGCGUGUGGCUUGUUGGCGCCGAAGAUCUGCAUCACCGACGCGCCCGACGUGCCCCAUGGCACGUACACGUCGCCCUCGAACUGCCACACGCCGGAGCUGUACACCUUCUGCAUGAUCAACGCAUGCAUGCAUACAUGAGAGUUAGCAUAGGGAAAAUGACCUAGAAUGGGCGAGAAGCUAUUUAGCUCAUAUUUACUUUAGCUUAUUUACUGAAUUUAUCAGCUAUUCUAAUAAUCACUGACGGAGCUCAGGCCAGGCCAACCUGGGCCUUGGCCCCCCCUUGCUAUAGGCUAAGCACUAGUUAUAUAAUCAAUGUUCAAUGUUUUUUUUCUUCUAAUUUUGAUACUCAUCUGCAAAGUUAUUUGCUAUAUGGCAUACAAAUAUUAAAUGUGACUUAUAAAUGAUAAUCUGUACUUGAUAUAUAGAGUCUAUUUGAUAUUUUUGUUGGGUUUUUACAGUAUUAUUAGCAGCAAAUUUGUGAUUAGUGAUUAUUUGCUCUAGCAUCUGUGUAUAAAUUGAUCUCUAUAAGGCAAAAUUGGCCCCUCCUUAAAGUUGCACCUAGCUCCGCCAUUGCUAAUUAAUAAUGUUUUUCUUUCGUAACAAAUUAGCAAACCGUAUUUUCUUGCCGUGAAGAGGUGACGUACAUCAACUUUGAUCUCAGUGCGCGGGUAGCCAGGGCGGGUGGAGUUGAUGGGCUUGUCGGUGGCGAAGACCCAGAAGCGGCGGACGCCACCGCACGGGUCGUACCGGUCGUGGAGCGGCAGGUCGUAGGGCUUCUGCACCACGAACUGCGACUCGUUCAGCUUGACACGGCUGAAGCCAGCGGUGAGGUGGCGAGACGAGCCGCCGGCGUUGGCGGCGUAGGGCAACGACGACGACAGCACCGCCGCCGCCACCAGCAGAAGCAGCAGAGAGCACGAGCUUGAAGAACCUGCCGCCAUGUCUGUGAGACUCUGACUAUAGCUAUAAAGUGAUGUGAUAUCGUCGUCCGUCUAGCGCUAGCUAUUUAACGGCUCGGCUGCUGCCUGGUCGAUCGGUCAGUGUGCACUGUCGCUGAUUACCGCGAGGCGGAUCGCGUGUCGUGUGCACACGGCGACGACAGAGACGGUGGCCGGCCGGCGGCCGGCGGCCGGCGGGCGUUUCGAAACUCCAAGUUUGGACGAAGGAGAUCGCAAGAGGAGUACUCGCGUCCAACGUCUGGAGUAAGGUCCAGCACAACAUACUGUGUUUGACUCGUUGGCACGCCACUGGAUUUGUGCCAUGCCCGUGACACGACGGCGACCGGUUGUUUUUUAAGAAUCUCAAACUAGUCUGAGAAUAAAAGUACACACGUUCUUCGGCGAACUGAUAAAUCAGAUAUGUCUACUAAUUGUCUCAUGCAGGGAGUUUCUUUCUAGCUUAUGAGCAUCACCAUUAGACAUUCGAUCUUCAUGAACAAACUCAACUGAAGUGAAACUGUCUUCUCGUACCUUGAUCUCUUGAAUUACAUGGCCAUAAGAUCCAAAAUCUUUGCCUCGAAUAUAACAACUGUGAUAUUAUCACAAGCCACUUUAAUUUUUUUUAACAACAAAUCUGAUACCAGCCGAAGGCUCUCUCUCUCUACACGCUACCGGUUGUUGAUCGCCGUCACACGUGACGUCGAGAUCCCUCGACGAGGAGAGGAUUUGCCGGCCUGGGAGUACUGGCCCAGUGGGCGAGAUGUGUCAUCUGCGGCGUCUCCGUCUGAUUCACGGCCCACCGGCGUGCUCUGCCUCUGCUCCCAAUGCCCAGACCAAAAUUGCUUUCUGGGCUCCGUCUGAAUGAACAUGACAAAAGCCUCUGUCCGUCUUCUUUUAACAUUUUUGUAUCACCGCAGAAUGUUCUAUAAGGUUGUUUCACCUGUGGAAUGGUAAAAACCUUCAUAAAAAAGAAUUAGAAAUCAUGAUAGAGUAAACAUCAGAAUGUAGAGGGGAUGAUCAUGUACAAGCUUACAAAAUUACAGGGCUAAAGUUAACUUCUUUAUUUUAAGAAUAAAAAUUGAGAGGGGAGAAUUAACAAAAUAGUUAGGGAUGAAAACGAAAAUGAUAAUCUCUGAUUUUCGGAAAUCAUUUUCGAGUUUUUCCUGAUUUUUAGGCCUAAAUGAAAAUGAUAACGGUAAAACGAUAACAGUAAAAAUAAUCGAAAAUGAAAGUGAAAUUAAUUUUGCCAUCUUUCGAUCAUUUUCGAAGAUUUCCGUAUUUUUAAUAAUUACCGAUUCAAAGGCCUGAAAAUAAUCUUUAGGAAGCCUACAUGCUAUAACCUCCAAGUGGACUCUAGUAAUUCAAGUUUUGAUCACUAUGCUGCGUCGAGUCAACUUGGAAUACAAUCGUUUAUAUUGUGUCUUUGUCAAGAAUUGUCAUACUGUUGCGUGGUUUGCUACUGUUUGAGACCUAAGAUGGUGUGAGUUGUGUGGUUUCAGCUUGUGAUCUUGUCAAUUGUGGCUUUAUUUAUCAUUGUCAUGUGAAAUAGGUCGAGUUAUAUAGAUCUUUUCAUGUUCAAUGGUUUGGUGUGUUUAUCGUUUUUAGGAUAUCGUUCUCGAUAUAUUUUCCAAUCGACUACUAUCAUUUUCAAAAUUACCAGAAUAUCGGCGCCGUAUUCGUUUCUAACAAUAUCGUACCGAUUUCAUUUUUGAGAAAAAAAAUUGUGAAAACAAAAGUGAUUUGGCCUUCUAUCGAUCGUUUCCGAUCAUUUUCAUCCCUAAAAAUAGUGUUUGUGAACAGCAGAGUACAGGGAGGGGGCGCCAGUAGUUGCCACCGCAACCUGCUGAAACCUUUUAAACUACCUUGUUUUAACUUCUAAGCUACAUUGACAAGGAUAUUGCAAUUGUAUUCAAAACAGAUAUAGUUAUUGAUGAUUUCUAUGGUAUGAAGACGCACAAAGUAAGACUAAAUUAAAAAAAGGGUUAGUUCCUAUGAAUACUUUUAUCUAUUGCAACUAUUUUUGUAAUGAAAAUAUGAUACCAUGAUUUUGUGUGUUACAUUUGAUAAAGUAUAUAGUUAAUCUUUAUCUUCAUUCGUAGUUCGAUUAAACAAUCCAUUAAUUGCACUUGGAUGACCUUCCUGGCUCUGCCACGGUGGUUGCCAAUUUUAUUUCUCUCACAAAUUAAAUUGAGUUUGCAUCCUUGAAAUUUUCUAUGCUCAUACAUCACCACUUCCUCUUUACAUGUAGCAAUUUUCUGAUUCCACCUACAAGUGGGCAAAAUCCAAUCUUAUAUUGAAGUGUUAAUUGAUCACCAUUCCUUGGAUAACAUACUGUGUUGAUUACCCAUCAUAUGUCUCCUGGUCUAAAUUGACUUGGACUUCUAUUUCAACCAUGAACAUGCAAAACCCAAAUUCGUACUUGCAAUAGUAAAACUGAUCUUUUAACAUGAACUUUCCACACAUUCAAAACCAAAAAUCAUAUUUCCAAUAUUAAAAUCGUCUUUUAACAGAAAUUUCCAAGGUUGAACUCCAAUUUCCCAAUUUCAUAGUGAAACCUUCAAAAUCAUUCACUUUUUGGGAACACAAACUGUGUGAAGGCUAUACUGAAACCUUUAAAAUCAUUCACUUUUGGGAACACAAAAUGUGUGAAGGCUUCUUAGCCUUCUUGUCCACCAAACUUUCACUACUACAGGCAUUUUAACUGAGGUGGGCAAAACAGAUUAACCAAGGAGGGCGUCUUAACUGCCUCGGUCAAAAGGUCACAGUAAAUAGAUCUUUACUAAGGCGAGGAACGGAUGGCGUCGUCAUCAUGGGGAGAGGGAUGGGUGGUGCCACUGUUGUGGGGAGAGGAAUAUAUAAAAUUAACUAAAUCUAUAUAUAGAGGUGGCUCUUUAUAUAUAUAUAUAUAUAUAUAUAUAUAUAUAUAUAUAUAUAUAUAUAUAUAUAUAUAUAUAUAUAUAUAUAUAUAUAUAUAUAUAUAUAUAUAUAUAUAUAUAUAUAUAUAUAUAUAUAUAUAUAUAUAUAUAAUACACAUACAUACAAGUGCUAUUCUACACCGUAGGUGUAGAAUAGUAUUCUACACCAAACUGUUAUACUGAGCAAAAUUCAGUAUCGCUCAGUAUUCGUGUUUCAGUAUUGUUCAGUAUUUCGUGGUCCUGAGUGUUGGACAAGUUGAUACUGAACACUCUCCAGUACUGCUCAGUAUUUUUUCUACUCAGUUUUGACUUGUGGUGUAGAAUAAUAUUCUACACCUAGGGUGUAGAAUAGCGCUACCGUAUAUAUAUAUAAAGAGCCAAAAUUUUAGUCUGCCCAAAUGUGUCUGCCCCUUCUGUCAAUUACUAGGAAAGAGAACAGAAAGAAAUAUAGGGUUCCAGAUGUAAAGAUACAAGAGAGAAAGAAGAAGUUGGAUGACCUUAAUAAUUUUUAAAAUAAAUUGAGGUUUUUAAUGCAAAAUUUCCAAAUUCAAGUGGGCUUCUUUUUUUGACUUGGGCCUUCGUUGGGCUGGAGCAAGCCCAUGCAAAUAUUUUUAUUUUUAUUUUUCUCUUUUUUAAAAAAACAAAGAUUUUACAAGAUUCACCAAAAAAUCAUAAAACAAUCAGAAAAAAUCUAAACCAAUUUUGUUAGAUUUAUAAAAAUAUGAUCUAUCCAUAGAUGUUAUAAAUCUUUUUAGAUUGUGCUUUAGCUAUAGGUGUAUUAAAUCACCCUUGCAUAUGUUGUAAGCAUAUAGGUUCAGCGAUGACCGAGAACGUGUCAGAGGUAGACUCGGAAUACGCAGAGGUGGAUAGGAGUACGAGGAGGAUGUCCUCAUUAUUGGUGUUCCCAAAGGCUUCACUAACUAUCCGUUGUCCGGUUUCUGCCUAAGGCACGCCCCGGUGGAUAACCCCUAUUUUUUAACACUUAUUAUAUUGUUUGUGCAUUAAGUUAUAGAGGUUGAUAUGAUGCGUCAAAAAAGCUACAAAGGUCGAUAUUGAGUCAUAGAAACACACAUGGGUAGUAUAAAAAAUUGCAAAGUUAGGAUGUAUUUAUAUCUAAAUAAUUAUGUGUUUUGCAAUGGAAGAAAGAAAUAUAUUAAGGUGUAUUUUAAUUCAAUACAGGUUUAAUAGAUUAUUUGUUAUUUAUUGUCAGCAUUAACUUAUAUUAUAAAUAUGACUCUCAUCAUGAAAUAAACUAAAAAAGCAAAAAAAAAAUAUAAAAUACAUAUGUACCAAUCACGUUAUAGUUUUGCAUAACUAUUUAGUAGUUUUUUCCUCCCGUUGCAACGCACGAGCAUAUUGCUACUAAUAUUAAAGUGUGUGAAAGACUUCUUUCGUUCAUCUUUUUACUUCCCAUAAUAUCCUUGUGUCUCUCCUUGUCUCGUCCGGGGGUCUCUUCUUGUCAUGUGUGGGACUCACUCAUGACCUGUGGAUAUUUGCUAGUAAUAACUUAUAAAAUUGGACGAGUUAAUAAAAUCGUGCUGCAUUCACAUGUCAUACUCAAAUAUAGUACAAGCAUUCAACUACGGAUACACAUGAGCCUGACUAGGGCGCAUCAUGUCGCUCCCACUUAUUCAACACAAUUACACACGCCAGAGAAAUUGAAGCAAGUACAGGAACACCUCGACGCACACGGCCGGCCCCACCCCACCACCUCUUCUCAGUCUCACUCACACAAACACAAGCAACACAGCUUAUUAGCAAGGUCCGGAAAAGGGACUUAUUUACUGUGAACCGUCAAAUUAACACGCAUGCAGUACAGAAUUCAACAGGUGGUACGUGGUGCGCCGGAGGCCGGAGCUCCAUCAUCGCCGGCCGGUACGGUACGGUACGGUACGGUCAGCCGAAGAGGUGGUGGUGCUUCUUCUCGCCGCUGGCCUCGUCGGCGUCCUUGUGGUCCUUCUUCUUCUCGUGGUGCUCGUGGAAGGCGUAGCCGCCGGCGCCCACCGCCGCCGCCGCCGCGACCUCCUCCGUGAUCUUGUGCCUGUGCGCGUGCUCGGGGUCCUUCUUCGCCUCGUGCUUCUCGUACUACAAAGAUCGAGUUCGUCAUGGAAGGUCAGCACGAAUAACAAACGAAUAGAAGUUAGAUCUGCGUGGACGACGACGACGUACAAGUGCGAAGGCGCCGGCGGCGAUGGCGCCGGCCUCGCCGAGGUGCUGCUUGUGCUUGUGCUCCUUCUCCUCCUUCUUGUACUUCUCGUACUCGUCCUCGCCGGUGGUCACCACCUCGGCGGCCACCGUCUCGGAGUACCCGUACUCGCCGGUGGGCUGCUCCUCGCCGUCCUUCUUGUGG